AAAUUGAAGAGUUUGAUCAUGGCUCAGAUUGAACGCUGGCGGCAGGCCUAACACAUGCAAGUCGAGCGGAAACGAGUUAUCAGAACCUUCGGGGGACGAUAACGGCGUCGAGCGGCGGACGGGUGAGUAAUGCCUAGGAAAUUGCCCUGAUGUGGGGGAUAACCAUUGGAAACGAUGGCUAAUACCGCAUGAUGCCUACGGGCCAAAGAGGGGGACCUUCGGGCCUCUCGCGUCAGGAUAUGCCUAGGUGGGAUUAGCUAGUUGGUG
rnacentral:rRNA from 1 species